UACGAACCGUACGAACGUUAUUCGGAUUCACUGGGCUUAAAGGGUGCGUAGGCGGCUGGGAAAGUUGGGUGUGAAAUCCCUCGGCUCAACCGAGGAAUUGCGCCCAAAACUUCCUGGCUUGAGGGAGAUAGAGGUGAGCGGAACUAAUGGUGGAGCGGUGAAAUGCGUUGAUAUCAUUAGGAACACCUGUGGCGAAAGCUGCUCACUGGGUCUUUUCUGACGCUGAGGCACGAAAGCUAGGGGAGCGAACGGGAUUAGAUACCCCGGUAGUCCUAGCCGUAAACGAUGAGCACUGGGUUGAGGGGACUUCCACAUCCUCUCGGCCGUAGCGAAAGUGUUAAGUGCUCCGCCUGGGGAGUAUGGUCGCAAGGCUG
rnacentral:rRNA from 1 species